AGCCCGCCCCGGCGCGUGGGCAGCUGUCAAGAGGCCGGGCUCGCGCUCGCCACCCGUGUGCUGCAAGCAGUCUGCACACUGGGGAGCAGCACCCCAGCUGGCCUGGGGAUUGUGGGAUGCGGUGCUCAGGAGUGCCCCGGGAACAUUGCCGACCCUUUCCCGGAGCUCAGCUAAUAGCUGGGAUCGCUAGCUCUAAGAGCUGACCCUAUUGCCGAAAUCCGACUCCCCAGCCUAGUGGCAUCCGUAGCUACAACGCCGAGCCUGCACUAGCUCCCGCUCCCUCACCUGACCCAGGGCCUGACUUCCAGGAAGGGAGCGGAUUUUGUUGGUGGUGUGCGUGUACAACUACAAAUAGCUCAAGGAAGGAAAUUGCCCGCAGAACAUCCCUCCUGAGGCGUCUGCUCGUGAGAUUUUGACGCCACUUCGCUCUCGUCCUAGCCCCCAGCAUGGCCUACAGCCCGGAGUGACCGCCCACAGAAGUGCGCCGCAAGUGGACACUGCACCUUUCGCCCUUCUCCAGUCCUGGGCAGUGACUCUGGAAUUAGGAGCGGGGUGGGGCGGCGAGCCUCCGGGCAGUUCGGCCUUGGCUCGCCGGGCUGCUCCCAGAGAUGAGGCAAGGAGUGCUAUCCACAGCGCGACCGUUGGGAACCUAGCGCCCACUUUUCCAGAGGUUCUCCACCCCUGACCUUACCAACAGGGAGGUCCUGGCUUUGAUCCCGAGUUCUUGGGCAGUCAUCUAGGUUGGCCAUUCAUCUCUCUUUGCAUCAGUAUGCCCGGAUUUUAGAGUGAAGUCCUUACUCACAGCUGUCCCUAUGAUACCUAGCUCGCUGCUGUGCAGAAAACUGGUUUUCAAUAAAUGUUCGUUAAAUGUAACUU